rnacentral:snRNA from 1 species
CUGCUUUGGCAGCACAUAUAGGAAAAUCAUGGCCCCUGCGCAAAGAUAACGUGCAAAUUCACGAAGCGUUCCAUAUUUUU